CCCUUUGUACGGAAUAGCCUCUGGAAACGGAGAGUAAUACCGUAUGAGCCCUUCGGGGAAAGAUUUAUCGCCAAAGGAUUAGCCCGCGUUAGAUUAGGUAGUUGGUGGGGUAAUGGCCUACCAAGCCUACGAUCUAUAGCUGGUUUUAGAGGAUGAUCAGCAACACUGGGACUGAGACACGGCCCAGACUCCUACGGGAGGCAGCAGUGGGGAAUCUUGGACAAUGGGGGCAACCCUGAUCCAGCCAUGCCGCGUGAGUGAUGAAGGCCUUAGGGUCGUAAAGCUCUUUCGCCUGUGAAGAUAAUGACGGUAGCAGGUAAAGAAACCCCGGCUAACUCCGUGCCAGCAGCCGCGGUAAUACGGAGGGGGUUAGCGUUGUUCGGAAUUACUGGGCGUAAAGCGCACGUAGGCGGAUCGGAAAGUUGGGGGUGAAAUCCCGGGGCUCAACCCCGAACUGCCUCCAAAACUAUCGGUCUAGAGUUCGAGAGAGGUGAGUGGAAUUCCGAGUGUAGAGGUGAAAUUCGUAGAUAUUCGGAGGAACACCAGUGGCGAAGGGGCUCACUGGCUCGAUACUGACGCUGAGGUGCGAAAGUGUGGGGAGCAAACAGGAUUAGAUACCCUGGUAGUCCACACCGUAAACGAUGAAUGCCAGUCGUCGGGUAGCAUGCUAUUCGGUGACACACCUAACGGAUUAAGCAUUCCGCCUGGGGAGUACGGUCGCAAGAUUAAAACUCAAGGAAUUGACGGGGGCCCGCACAAGCGUGGAGCAUGUGGUUUAAUUCGAAGCAACGCGCAGAACCUUACCAACCCUUGACAUCCUGUGCUACAUCCAGAGAUGGAUGGUUCCCUUCGGGACGCAGUGACAGGUGCUGC
rnacentral:rRNA from 1 species